rnacentral:lncRNA from 1 species
AUGACAGGAGACGUCUCGUACUCGGAAAGUAUAACCUCUGACUAAUUUCCAUUUGCCAUGAGAUCUCCAUGUGAAACUUCCCAGACUCCUCUUUGUUUUUGAGGAUGUGUUGGCAUUGAUACCAUCUUGAUGGUAGGUGACAGGCAUCCUUGUGAUACAUAAGAUCUGAAGUGGCCCAGAUGCUACUUACAUCAUGAGGCCUCCUUUAAAAUCUGGUAUCCCCACUCGGCCCCCCUGAGCUGUCCAACUUGGCAGUGGUGCAAAUAAGGACCUGCCUGCUUGUCUGGGAAGAGGGAAGAAAGGAGCCAUUGAGGGAGAAGCCUGAAGCACAGGGAUGGACUCAGGGAGGAGAGAUUUGGGGAGGAUAGAAGAUGCUGCACACCUUUAAUUGGUAGACAAAUUGAAAAAGAAGAUUCUGAUCCUAUGUCCACCGGAAUCUCUUCAUUUGUGAAUUCCUGAAGUCCUGGCGUAUAAUGAAAAUGACAGAGAGAAAUCAAAUGUCAGAAUUCUAAAUGAGAUUUUAGAAAUUAUCUGAUGCAGCCCUCUGUUUUUCAGAUGUUGGAAUACACGUGUUCAUA